rnacentral:lncRNA from 1 species
AGAUGUUAGAAGAUUUUCUCCAGAUGAAACUGUUCCCAUUGUCACUGUUGUCUGGUGAUGUAGUAUGGUCAGGUGAAGAGAAGUCAUUAGACUUUGAAGAUGGCGCAGAAGAAGAGGAGAAAUCUUAAUGUUUAUAACUUUAGCUCAAUAGUGUUAUGAUAUUCUAUAAUUUUUGGGAUUUUGGAAAAUUAUUAAUGUUUAAACGUCAGAUAUUUUACUCUAAAACAGAAAGAUUAUAGACACAUCUAAACCACACGAAACAGAUAACACAGAUUUGUUUUGUCAAAUGAUUUCAGGGUUUGCAAAGUUUACAUUGUUUCAAGCAAUAAGAAAUUAUACUCAUAAUUUUUUGGGCUUUUAGAAGAUGUUGCUUAACACUAAUUUGGAAAGAUAUAUGUAAAAGAAUUUUUAUUGACAAUCUGCUAUAAAUGUGUAUUAAUCAUAUUAGGAUUUAAUCCUUGGUAUUUGGCUUUUAUCAUUUGAGCUGCGUCGGAUAGAGUGCAUGUACACAUAUACAUAUCUAAGACUUUAAUCGAUUUUGGAACAACUAAGAUAUAAAAGCUGCAUUUUGGUCCGUUUAAAAGGAUUGUCUUCUUAUGAAAACCUACUUUUGGAACAAUUACAGACUUUCUGUAGAAAUUAUUUUAACCCACAAUAGGUAAACAGAGGUAUUGAUUUCUUUUGCAUAAGGUCUAUGUCUAUCCGACGCAGCUCAUUUCUUAUGAAUAAUUCAACUCCUUUCAGGAUUAUCUUUAAAAGAGUUCAAUAUUUUCAUUUUGAUCUCUGCCUAUUGCCAUGGCCAUCUAUAUAAUACUACAAAAUAGCUUGUUUCUCAGUUCUUGAGUAACUAAAAAAUAUAUGCCUUGAAAAAAUUGUAGCUACACAUAUUUUUACAAACACAUCAAGAAAAAUUUAAUUCUUUUAGAUGUUUUCAAAAAUCAAAAUAGACCAAUGUAGGAGAUACCUUUGAAAAAGCAAAAGUUUUUACCUCUCAUCUAUGUUAGGCUUUAAGAAGAGGGAACUGGUCAAUUAUUAACACCUCUUGACAAUGGAUAGAUUGAUGCAAAUGUAUUAAAGCUUUAGAAGAUUUAGUUUAGUGUUCAAUGUUCACUCUUAGGAGUAUAAAUGUAGAAACACAAUAAUUUUUACUGUAGAUUCAUUAUUAUUCGUUGGAUACCAAUUUUCGUUGCUUUCGUGGGUAUAGGUGAACCACGAAAUUAAAUGUUCAACGAAUAACAAAUUUCUUAUAGGCUUAUAUGCAGACUACGGCAAAACCACGAAUUUAAAUAUCCACCAACAUGAAAGUUUUUCGUAAUCCACGAAAAUUGGUACCCACGAAAAUAAAUGAAUCCACAGUAGUCAUAUAAUGUUCAACAAAAAUUAAGUGCCCAAGAUAGUGUGGACCAUUAGAAGGCCAAGGAAAUGUAUACGUAGACCACUAGAUGGCUACAGUAAUGUCUUUUUAGACCAUAAGAUGGCCACAGUAUUGUAUAAAUAGACCAUAAGAUAGCCAAUGUAAAUGUAUACCACUCAUGCCAUUAGAUGGCCAAGGCUAAGAAGACAUUUUUCAUUCUUUUCAGCCCAUUUUUAAACUGAAUUUUAUAUUUUUCUCUUCUGAUUGUUAUUUUCUCUUUUCAUAAUCUCAUUUACAUCAACAGAAUUAAUUAGAAAAUUGUGUGUAGAAGUAAAUUCCCCAUUUCAGAAUCAAAAGGACAUUGGCUGAUUUCUUUAUUCAAACUCAAACAUGUACAUCACCUUAUUGGUUGAACUUGCAUUUUUCAUGCCCUGGAUAGCUAUCAACAACAUUUUGGUGUUUUGUUUUGAAAAAUUUACCCACAAUGCACUAGAUUUUGAAAUAGUGAUUCACAGGAGAAAGUGGGAACAAGAGUUUGUUACAUGUUGCGUUUUACAUUUAAGUUGUUUAUAUUUACAAUAUAAUUUAUUAUAUAACUAUAGAAUGCCUAGCUAUUAUAUAUGAUAUGAGUGAACUUUUGGAUAACUAUUACAGGGGUUCAUAAUUUAGUACAGGAGUGACAGGUUCUGGACUUUUUAGUUUACCAAUCUAUGGUCAGGUGUUUAAGAUUACUCUUAGCUUGUUUAGGCAUUGAUGAUCCAGGACGUUUGUUUUUGAGAAUAAAAACUCCUGAAUUCCAUUGAUUUGUACCUCUGUGUAAAUUAUCAAUAUGUCAAUGUACUGACAGAUAUAAUGCUAUGUAUUACUGUUCAGGUGGAUUUUGAAUUUUCCACCUGUGCACAAAAGGUGUGUCUCUGUGGCUUCAUGUUGGCAAAAUGUUCUGCCCGCCCUGUUCAGAAAAUUUACUGUUUCUUUUUUUGGAUAUGAAGAUAUAUAAAACUACAUUCCAAUAAUGUGAUCUAAAAGGCAUUUAUUUUCAAUACUGGUAUGAGAUAGAAGAUGUGAUCUAGAAAUUCACAAGGAUCAUGAUUAAGAAAGGUUAUAAUAUCUACUUAUGUAGUAAUCAGUAUAUGUUUUGUUCAGAUAUUGUUUUUAUCAUUUUAUAUAGUUUUAUACAUGUUUUAUUAUUGCUCAAUUUGUUAUGUUUGUGUUAAAUGUUAUUAACAGAUCAUAUCAUGGAGUUUCCAACAAGAAGUAAGGAGUUAUAUAUAUAUAUGUUUGUGUAUGUUACUAAUGAGGUUUUUUCAUGUUAUCUUUUAACAGAUAUCAUAUGGUUAAAGGGAAAAGAUCCAUCUGUUCAUAGUCAGAUUUUCAAAGGGUUCAAAUAAUUUUCAAUAAAAAAGUCAAAUAAUUGAAUAGUCAAGAGUGUUUGUAUUUUUUAUAAGCAAACUGUUUUAUGAUAAUUGUCUAGUUACCCAUCAAGCUUCAAUUCCAACUGAAAUCUACAAAUACUAAAUUAAAUACAACAGAAAUCCUAUUUAAACAGAGGUUUAAUAAAAUAUUUAGUUGUCUAAGUGAAGGUUAUAUGCUAACGCUGCUGAUGUAUUUGCCUAAUUUAGCUUAGAAAUACCAGAAUGUGCAAUCAGGCCAUAGGGAAAUGUUUUAAUGUAAAGACAAUCUUGUUUAUAAAUCCCUUUGUAUCAUAUGGCAAUCAUAUUUAGUAUAUCAUGUAUUUGAAUAAAUUAUGUUAAACAUUAGCAUUAAUAAAGUCGCAAUGUCUCCCCAAUAAAUUGAAGGUAAAACAAGUGUAGACUAAAGAAAUUAUACUCCUACUUGCCCAGUUUUCUUAAAUAUUUGACAGUUAGCAGUUGUAUUUUGGAUAUUUUUUUAUAUUGCCUUUACACUCAUUUCAAUAUUUAGAAUAAAUGUUACUGAAGCUUUUUCUUAAAAGACCAAAUUUGACAUUGUUUGCCAUUUUGAGAUUAACCGCAAUAUUAUUCAAUACUAAAAUGUAUGAAUAAAUUGUAAAAUUUUAUUAAUUGAAAAAUUAACUGACAAAUAUUAAAGGGACAAACAAGUCUGAAAUAAAGCAGGCAAAUAUAAAUGUUUAAACAACUGUAAAAGGCAAUUUUUUUAUAUACACACCAAUCAUAUCAAAUCUCACACAUAUGUGUAUAACAACAUAUUGAAGCCAUAUCUCUUUCAUAUUACACAAUUUUGUAAAAAUAGAUAUUGAAGUCAGAUCUCUUUCAUAUAAAACAAAUUACCUCCUGGUAGAGUCAGUGAUUUUUAUAUGCUGUCUUUUUCAUUGAUGUUUAUGACCGCUCACUUGUUUGAAUACUUUACCAUUAAUAUCUCAUCAAAUGACUUAAGUAUGCAUCCAUCUUUGUUACAUAUUUUAUUUUAUGAAAUUUAUAUAUCAAGUGGCAUUACUUACUUAAUAUUUACAUAAUAUUUUUCCAUUAUGCUUAGUAUGUUUAUAUUGUAUUAAGGGGGUAGAACUUGGUUCAGGGAGAUAACUCUUUAAAUCAGUUAAGCGUUUGUAAAAGUCAAGUUCAUCAAUGUAUUUUAAGCAUUUACCUGAAACAGAUUGAAAAUAAUCUAUGUAACCUAGAAGCUUAGAAUAUAUUUUUGAAAAUGGUUGACAAAAACGUACUGAUGAUUUUAAGAGUUAUUUCCCUUAACCUAGGUCUACCUCCUUAAGCUGUUAUAUAUUCCACUUAUUUUUAAAUUGUUGUAUGCCAUUAUGCUAGACAUGUUUAUAUAUUGUAAAGGCAAAAAAAAAUUAAAUAUUGAUAGAUAUCUGUGUAUACUACUAAAGAGGGAAUUUUUAUUUAUAGCAAAGUAUGAAGAAGUCAUCACAAAUUAAAUCAGUUAAUGCAAAACAUAUUUGAAAAAAAAGUUAGUAGACAAAUGAAACAUUUAUAGAUGAAGCUUUUUAAAAAAACAUAUAUGGUUAAUCACAUAUUUGCCAUUGUAUUUUUAACAUCACAAGAAAAAUAAAUGCUGUUUGCAUUUUUAAUAUUUCUGAAAGUAGACAUUGAUACAUAUUCCAUUGCUUAUUCAAUUAGAUUUUACAUGAGUGUUGAAGUUUUGAGCUAUGCUUAUUUAAGAUAAUAUUAUACAUAUUGUUCAAGCCAUUCCUGUGAUUGAUGUAAUAAGAUUGUUGUUAUCUGUCAUACUAUCGUCAUUUCUGUUUCUCAGUAGUGAAUCAAUAUGAGUUCUAACCUGCCUUUCAUAGUAAAUCUAAAAUGUAUCAAAGUUCACUGAAUUGUUUAUGUCAACUGAGAAGAAUUUAAGUGGAUGGUGUUUUGUAAAACAAGGACUUGAUAUCAAACUUGAUACCUAACACUACAGGGAGAUAACUCUGUAAAAUUAGCUAAACGUUUUAAUUACGUUGUGUUGUAAAGGGAAUAUCCAGCUUCUCAAUGAUCAAAAUUGGUGUUUGUCAAACUGCUAUAUAACCAGUGUAAUUUUUCUGACAAAACGGUUGGUUUAAAAUUUUUGAAAUUUUUAUAUUUUUGUUAAAGGGUCAAAGUAAAUACAUUGUCAAAAUUUUAUGAAAAUUAAACAAGCCAAAUUAAUUUUAGUGAAAGUGUUGGGUACCACCUUAAGCUGGGACUCUAUAAAAUGUCUGUGAAAAUGGACCAAUUUGAUUUUAGGACUUGCCAAACUUUUGAGAAAUAUUCAUUUGCCUCACUGAGAGUCUUCUUAGAACUCUAGUUAUCAUUUAUUCAAAAUGAACCAAAUUUGUAUUCAUUGUAUAAUUAAGCAAAUGAAUUUGUAAAAAAUGACAAAAGAUAUUUUCAGAAAAGUUUCAAUGAAAAUGUAACAACCAAACUCAUGAUGCCAAUAGUCAUAUUUGACUGGUUGACUUGGAAUCAGUUUAAUGUGUAGAAUAUUGUGAUAGGUUCUUUAGAAUAACUUAUCUUGUGAGCUAGUAUGUUUCCAAUUCUAACUUCACAUUGUCUGUUUAAAGCAAAUAGUUAUCAAAGGUACCAGGAUUAUAAUUUAGUACGCCAGACGCACGUUUCAUCUACACAAGAUUCACCUCAUAUCAAAAUAUUUAUAAAGCCAAACAAGUGCAAAGUUGAAGAGCAUUGAGGAUUCAAAAUUCCAAAAAGUUGUGCCAAAUACGGCUAAGGUUAUCUAUGCCUGGUUUAAGAAAAUCCUUAGUUUUUGGAAAAAUUCAAAGUUUGGUAAACAGGAAAUUUAUAAAAAUUACCACAUUAUUGAUAUUCAUGUCAACACCGAUUUGUUAUAUGUGUCAUAUGAUAAUACCUCAUUAACAUAUCUUCCUGAAAAUGCAUAGAAAUUACCUGCAAGAAUGUAAACAAUCAAAUAUCUUUAAACAUGUCUUUCAGGCACAGAUGCAUAUCCAUUGUUGAAAUUUGUUUAGAAAUAUUUACACUAUGGGAGUAUAUAAAUAUUUUAUAUGUUCUGUUAAAAACUGGGUUUAUAAUUUUGUACACCAGAUGUGUUUUGAAAAUUCAUUUUGUAUUUUUACAAGAGUCAAUUAAUACACAAUAUACAAAUAAUAAUUGGGAUUAGGUAAUAAGAGCAGUGCUCUUAAUGAUAUUGUCUCCCUGAAAUCACAAUUUACAUAUAAAGUGUCCAUUAUUUUGAUUUUUUUUUUAAUAUAUUACUGGUUGAUAUCUUCGAAAGAUUAAAUUGUUGCUGAAUGUAAGGAUUGAAAGCCUAUAUUACAAUGAGAAUAAUAGGUUGUCAUCUAGAGAUGUUAUCAAAAGUAAAUUAUGAUAUGUAACAAGUACUUAACAUACAAUUAGAAUAAAAAAUAAUCUUGCUUAAUUGUAUAAAAUUGCAUCAACAUUAGCUUUUGUAGAUGAUGUAGAAUGCAUAAUUAUAUACAUUUAAAUUCUAUAAGUCAGCAAUACACAUGUGUCAUGUUUUGCUGAAUUAAAAGUGUUGUUUCCUUUCUGAGAAAUCCCCUUAAUUUUUUUUUAUAACUGAUAUUCUAUUUUAACUUGCAAGCAGAAAGCUGUCGAUACAGAGCUAUGAGUUUGAUAAAUCAUAUUUUAGACAUUUAUAAAUUGUGUGCUUCCAUUUUAUAUGUUGUGUCUUUAUAAUUAUGUAAGAGCAUUUUAUAUCAUUUUAUAUUGUUCACAUAUGCAAAAUGUGUAUGCUAUUGUUGGUUAUUAAAAUACAACAUCAAAU